rnacentral:rRNA from 1 species
UCCCUACGGGAGGCAGCAGUAGGGAAUCUUCCGCAAUGGACGAAAGUCUGACGGAGCAACGCCGCGUGAGUGAUGAAGGUUUUCGGAUCGUAAAGCUCUGUUGUUAGGGAAGAACAAGUGCCGUUCAAAUAGGGCGGCACCUUGACGGUACCUAACCAGAAAGCCACGGCUAACUACGUGCCAGCAGCCGCGGUAAUACGUAGGUGGCAAGCGUUGUCCGGAAUUAUUGGGCGUAAAGGGCUCCCAGGCGGUUUCUUAAGUCUGAUGUGAAAGCCCGCGGCGCAACCGGGGAGGGUCAUGGGAAACUGGGGAACGUGAGUGCAGAAGAGGAGAGUGGAAUUCCACGUGUAGCGGUGAAAUGCGUAGAGAUGUGGAGGAACACCAGUGGCGAAGGCGACUCUCUGGUCUGUAACUGACGCUGAGGAGCGAAAGCGUGGGGAGCGAACAGGAUUAGAUACCCGUGUAGUCG